rnacentral:rRNA from 1 species
UGGGGAAUUUUCCGCAAUGGGCGAAAGCCUGACGGAGCAAUACCGCGUGCGGGAGGAAGGCCUUUGGGUCGUAAACCGCUUUUAACAGGGAAGAAGAUCUGACGGUACCUGUUGAAUAAGCCUCGGCUAACUCCGUGCCAGCAGCCGCGGUAAGACGGAGGAGGCAAGCGUUAUCCGGAAUUAUUGGGCGUAAAGCGUCCGCAGGUGGCCUAUCAAGUCUGUUGUUAAAGCCCAGGGCUCAACUCUGGAUCAGCAAUGGAAACUGAAAGGCUAGAGUACGGUAGGGGUAGAGGGAAUUCCCAGUGUAGCGGUGAAAUGCGUAGAUAUUGGGAAGAACACCAGUGGCGAAGGCGCUCUGCUGGGCCGUAACUGACACUCAUGGACGAAAGCUAGGGGAGCGAAAGGGAUUAGAUACCCCCGUAGUCC